rnacentral:rRNA from 1 species
GUGGGGAAUUUUGGACAAUGGGCGCAAGCCUGAUCCAGCAAUGCCGCGUGCAGGAAGAAGGCCUUCGGGUUGUAAACUGCUUUUGUACGGAACGAAACGGCUCUGGUUAAUACCCGGGGCUAAUGACGGUACCGUAAGAAUAAGCACCGGCUAACUACGUGCCAGCAGCCGCGGUAAUACGUAGGGUGCAAGCGUUAAUCGGAAUUACUGGGCGUAAAGCGUGCGCAGGCGGUUUUGUAAGACAGGCGUGAAAUCCCCGGGCUCAACCUGGGAAUGGCGCUUGUGACUGCAAAGCUGGAGUGCGGCAGAGGGGGAUGGAAUUCCGCGUGUAGCAGUGAAAUGCGUAGAUAUGCGGAGGAACACCGAUGGCGAAGGCAAUCCCCUGGGCCUGCACUGACGCUCAUGCACGAAAGCGUGGGGAGCAAACAGGAUUAGAUACCCUUGUAGUCC